GGUUUGGUCACAGAUCUGCCAGUUCAGAUCAAAUUCCACAUCUUGUUGCCUGCCUCAGGACUCAAACCAGUGACCUUUCAGUUACUGGACUAAUUCUCUAUCUUCCACCUUCUAACUUAUUUUUUUAUUUCUCAUUUAUUUAACCAGGUAGGCUGGUUGACAACAAGUUCUCAUUUACAACUGCGACCUGGCAUCGGCGUCCUAGGCAAAGUUCCCUUUACACUAUCCCAUGUGCGUGUCUCAUGAUCUGUUAAUGAAGUAGUCCUGCCUGUAAGUUUAAUAUCAGUGUCACCCUCAGCUCAGGAGGGCAUUACAUCUUGGUCUAAUGGUCAAGCCACUGGUUUUUCCCAUGGGAGGCCCGGGUACAGAUCCUGCCCAUGAAAUAUGCACACCUCUCCCAAAGCACAAUUCCACUACCACCAAUGUAGUGUUUUUUUUUUGCAAACAGCAAUGGUGCAAUGUCCCUUUUGUCUCAAACCCGGGUCUCCCUGCCCGUAGGCAAACAAAUAUAUUUUAGUGAAUUCAGGAGUUCGCCCCAAACAGGUUUUGAACCUGGGUCCAUCAACUGUCAAGCCAACACCUUAAGUGCUACGCCAAGAUGCCCAAACCUUUCGUUGAGGUCGCUCGGUGUUGGAUUAAGGUUGCUACAUUACCUCCUUCCUUGGGGAGAGCAUGCCCCCACACUUCUUUAUAGCAAGUCUCUCACAUGUACACAUCUUUGAUGGCUUCACAGGCACUAUCCCACUUCUGAUACCAAUGUAACAAAUUUGGGGGUAGCUCCAACUGGGACUUGAACCCCGGUCCAGUGACUAGCAAGCCAACACCUUAUCCAUUACCUCAAGAGAUCAGAAGGUGUUAAGUGUUGGGUUAAGCUUGCUACAAUAUAUACUUAUAUAGGGCAAUGUGUGAUCUGGGUGAGGCAGCAUUGCCACUAGUGCUCCCAACACAGCCAAACACCUUCUUAACCUUACCUAACCUAAAGUCAAAUACAUUUAGACAAACCACCAUGUGAGCAGCAAGUUUAGGGUUAAUGGAGUGAAGUUGGUGAUGGGUAGGACCACCAGUAUGAACUAUAUGUCUAUGAAGGUAUUACAAACGGGAUGGAUGCUCUUCAUCAACACCAUCUUUUCUGUGAAACUAGAUAUCAGCAAUCAAUCAACAAGACUAAUGAAAUGGAGCAAAUGAAGACGUUAGAUCUGCUAAAGUUUCCCCUAGAUACAGAUCUAGGAUCAGCUUCCCCUCCCCAAACCCAACAAGGACCACUAGCGGGGGGAAUUCAAACCUGAUCCAAAGCCAGGGUCUAUUUGGGGAACUUGUCCCAUCCCCCACAACUCUACAUGUGGAUGCGGCUUUCUCCAGCUCACCAUGCUCACAAAGAAAACAGCAGUGCAUUUCAGCUCUCCCGCUCUCCUCAGUCCGAGAAAACACUGAGAGAGAAAGAUCAACAUAAAAGCCUAAAAGACAGCCGUGGUGUCGCUCUUCAUUUCUUGGUUCUCCUGUGGUACAUAAGAAACCCGCUACAAGAACAUGGAUAAAAGCAGGAAUCUCUCGUGCCAAGAUUCAUCAGCUGUUAUACAAAUAUGAUACAAAACACCAGCUGAGUGGCACCGGCUGCAUCAGCAAGCCUGGGAAAGAACUGAAAAAACGCACUAAAGAGUCAAGACAGACACCAGAAAGAGACCCAAGAAGACUUGGACGCAGGGUCAGAGGACAGCGAGGGAUGUUCAGAAAACACUCAGUCCGGUUUGGAGAAUGACUGCUCAACCCAAGAGGCCUAAGAGCAGCUGUGAGAGAGCAUCAGUUUGGAAGCAUUUGGGAAAAUGUAGUGCUAAAGAAGGUUCCCGGCAAAGAGGAUUGCCUGUUAUGG